UUUUUUUUUUCUGGACAAACAAUUUUAUUUUAGGUAAUGCGUCUAUACACUGUACAUUCAGUCACUGUGGUAUAUAAGCAUAGCUAUUUUCAUACAUAAUCUCAUAAUGUCCUUUAUUUUACAAUAUUAUCUUUGUGAGGGCAAAAGGUUCUGGAAAAAAGAGGUAAAAAAAGGACUGACAGGGUACACAGCGAAAUAGAUAAAUAUGCUAAGCUUUUUUCUUAAUUUUUUUUUUAAUCAGGCAUUUAUAAACAAGAAAAGCAUACAUUAAUUACAUAAAAAUAGUUCUAGAAUAGUCGAGUAAGUUUUAAUAUUGUCAUUAGCAGCAGCAUAGAAUAAAACAAGAUAAAAAUGUGUUGAAAUGAUAUUGGCUAUAACAUAUGUCGAUUUGUUUUCUCUCAAAUGAAAAAAAAAGUCAUUCUUGUGAAUUCUUCUGAUACAAAAAGCCCUCUAAAAAUGUGAGAAAUUAUGGAGAAAAAAAAAGCAACCUUUUUUUUUUAUAAUAAAAAUACUUUACAAUGAAAAUAUGGACACAAUGUAAUGAGGAAAAAAAAAACAUUAGCCUAAAACAUUUAUAAAUUGCAAAAUGUAAUUUUUUUUUUUCUAUCAAAUUCGGAGUUAAAAACACAACAAAUUAAGCCAGACAAUUAGCAAGGUUUUUUUCCGAAGAAAAAAAAAUUUAAAAUAAAAAACACCAUAUACACUUAUAAUACAACAGUGUAAAAUGAAGGGGGGAAAAAAAUCUAUUUACAAAUAAAUUGUGUUUCUUUGUACAAUUGGCUAGUCUGACAUGUAAAAGUAGGAUAUUAUGUUUAAGAUUUAUCAGUUUUUAAUAGAUAUGAAUGUUAUUGCUGUUGAUUUAAGUUCCCUUUAUUAUUUAUUUCAGUAUAGAAAUAUGGUUAAUAUAUAGAAUAUACAUUGAUCAAUGUAAUGUGUUGUAAGCAGAGGGAGAAUUAAUAGCAUCUACAAGAAUGGGCCAAGCAGCCUACACAAAAUUAAAAUACAGAGAGUAGGGGAAUAAAACUCGCUAUUUACUGCAAUGCAGUAUUCCACACACAGACAUUACCCACCUGAAAUACUCAGUCCAUAUAACCUUAGAACCCUUAACAUUUGUGAUCAGUCUCAACAUUUUAUAUUUAUCUUGUGAAUUUUGUGCAUACAAAAUGGUCUUAUGCACAAACUGCCAUGCGGUUUUGCAGAACAUAAAUGCAUUUUUAUUUUAUUUUUUAAAUUAAUUUAGAAAAUGCGGUUUUAACGUCCUGUGCCGCUUUUACGGAACAAUGACUGGCCAUGCAUAUAGCAGCAAAACUGAAUAAGGCAAAUUGAGGUUAAGAAUUUUGAAAAGCAAAUUUAUUUUAGACCAGUGGCAUGACAUUCGCAGACCACUUUGCAAAGGUUCACUGAAGUUUGGUCAGGUGCAUAAAAAAAACUAAGAAAAAAAAAAUACAAAAUUCAUGUUGUACACUAGAAACAGGUAUGCAAGCCCUUCAUACAAAGAAUCAAAGCAAAGCAAUAAAAUUAUCCAUGCAAAAAAAGUCAAAAAGAGAUACAAUAAUGCUGACUUCACAUACUAGAGGAACUGCACACUAAUUUGGGGGCUCCUGUACGUCAACAUUGGAGCACGUCUGACCACUCACAAUCCUCCUGUAACGUUUGCAUCUGGAGAGGCUGAGUUUCAUUUCGAAAAGCACGGUCAAACCUUUCCAAGUGAGAUGUGGUAUAAUCACAAAUCGAAAAUUUACCACCCAGGCAUACGUUAUCCACAUCUCCCGAUGGUCCAUGGAUACGUUCAACCACAGAUCAACAGGCCUACACUUUACAGGCUUCCAUGAUCAAUCAGUGAAGGGUGACAUUGGAUUGGUAGUUUUUUAUAUAUAUUUAUAUUUUUAUAUAUAUAUAUAUGUAUAUAUAUAUAUAUAUAUAUAUAUAUAUAAGUUAUCCACACAUAUUAAAAUGCAUCAUUCACCUGGCAUCAGAGUUGCUAUGCAAAAAUUCUGAAUUAGCAUAUGGUUUAUAUAUAGACAUUUUGUCUAAUAAUAAUAAUAAAAAAAGCCUCAGGUAUAAAUCCAAAUGCAGCUUUAACAGGAAUUCAAGCUUUUUGCGAGCUGCUUGUUUUGCAGCAGAGAUAUGGCUUAUUUUUUUCUUUUAGUUAAAAUAUCUCUCCCAACCACACACAUACUAUGAUGAAGGAUCCAUAGUGUUUGACAAUACUGCAGUUCCAUAGUGAGACAUUUAGCUAAUAUCAGGAGCUUUCAUGUAACUAACAGAAAAGGCAUUCCAAUAACUUUUCUGUUAACCUGACAGUUCCUUACAUAGACUAGACUGCUGACUUCUGAGAAUGGAUAUUCAAGACUGAUUUUGAAGGCACAGACAUUCACAUGAAAGAAAGGCACAAAAAUACAGUGAACUGUAUAUUUUACGUUUGGGACACUCCAACUCAUUCCCAAGAGGCCGUUUAAUCCUGCCAGAUUUUCAAGUUCGAACGUGUAAUUAGCAAACUGCUUAAUAAAGCAUUAAGUUAUAGUCUACUAUAAAAAUCUGGACUAUCUUCAGGCCAAGUGGACAGAAAAAGGAAAGCCCAGUAAGUAAAACUAAAGUUUCAGUUUAAAAGUUAAAAGUUGAGUAAUUUUAAAAAGUGGAAAAAUUUGGAAAAACUGGGGAGAUUUAUAUAUAUAUAUAUAUAUAUUUAUUUUUUUAAUAUAUUUUUUUUAAAAACACAUUUAUCUCAGAUUAUUGGUCUUUUAAUACAGUGUAGUAGUGCCCGGUGUCAAUAUUACAAUCAUUAAACAAAUGUAAAUAAGACUUAAUAUUUCUAUGCAGGAUGAAUAUUGGGUUUUGUGUUCAUCUCGUUUGAAGGAGAUUUUAUUAAGCAGCAACGGAACAAGUCUAUCCCGUACACUUUUUGACUCUCCGGCUCAACCUUACUGCCAUCUCUGUAAAACCAACAGUGCAGGUCUGCCGUUUAUGUCUUAUUUUAUCUUUACACAGGCAUUGCGCACUGCAAGACGUCAAUUGUGUAAUAGGAUAAAAGUAAAGUACGCUACCAAAUUUAAAAAAAAAAAAAAAGGUAUUGACUCCCUCAGAAUCUGAAAAAAAAGGACUGCACAAAAACAAACACUAGAAAAAAAUAUACAAAAUGUAAAACAGAAAAAACAAAACAGGUAUGUGUGUGAUGUGUAACACAAAAAAGUUAAAAUUAAAAAAAAAAAAAAAAAGACUAAUGCCCAGUUUUGAUAAUUAUGGCAGAGAGUUGAAUUCCAUGCAUAUAUGUAUUGUGUUUAAUAAAAAUCACGGGGGAAAAAAUACACACAAAAAAAGCAAUAACUGUAACCCUGUGUUAAAAAAAAUAAAAUAAAAUAACCAAUUGUUUUUUUUAUCUGCAUUGCACUUAAGAACAGAAAAGCAUUUAAAUGCUGCAGGGCUCAUAACACAUGCAAUUGUGAUGCAAGACCCUCCAGUAGCAGAGGACCCAUAAAUUCUUCUCGAAGUACUGUACAAAGAUCAUCGGUAUAAGUGAGGUUACUCUGGGGGGGGAGGGAUAUGACCUGUAGUGCAGCCUUUAUGGAGUUGCAUUCGAUACCUCUUAAAUGUUAAGGGACUCACUAGCAGCAAAAGGGUGGGCCCCACAGAGACAUAAUGAAAUCUAAUAAAACACUAAUGAGAUUGUUUAAUUGCAUUGAGUGUGCAGUCAUUCUCACCAACCCAAAUCUGUCAGUGACAUUUUUCAAAGGUGCAGUGACACUCCUACACAACAGGGGUGGCAACAAGGUACCCAGCCAUUUUUAAAUGAUACUGUCAGACAUUAAUCUGGGAUCACUUAAUGGAAUUUAAUACAAAAAGGGGAAUAGCAAACGGACAUUGUACUGCCCUAAUUUUUUUAUUUAUUUUUUAUUGACUUGCAGAGCAUAAUUUCUUUAUCUGGGAGUGAUGAACACUAUUUUGGCCUAAAUUUUACCAGAUUGCUGCCACCCACCUAAUGUGAAACGGAAUGGCAUCUUUGAAAAUAAACCAAAGAAAGCAGGUUAUUUGUUCGGCAUUGAAAUAAACAAAUAGCAUACUGGUUACAUUGGUAAUAUUAAUGUAUAAGAUCAGCUAGGACACGAGCAGGGGGAAAGCUUUGGUAGAAUCUCUUUGAGUAUCAGAGGGGGGGUGUGCAAGUUUGUUUGCCCCUCCUAUACUAAAAGAGAUAGGAUAAAAUUCUUGCAGUCCAAUCAAAAAUGCAUCUGUUACCCAAAAAAAAAAAAAAAAAUAAGUAAAGAUUACGUUUUGUUUGUUUCAGACACUUUUCAAUCUUAUAAUAGAUUUAAAAUAUAAAAGUUAGUAAACUUUACACUAGAGUAUAACUAUGUCCCAUGCAUACCAAGAAUGAAAGCCCAUUUAUUUUAUUUUUUUGUUUGUUUGUUUGUUUUCAACAUCUGUUAAUCUGAGCAUGAAACCUCAUGGAGGAAACAAUUCUAGAAAUAUGUUUAACCAAACCACAUAAAAGAAAGCAAAAGAAUAAAAAAAAAAAAAAUUAUAUAAAAGAUACUAAAAUGUUUGCAGUGACAGAACAUUGGAGUAUAAGAUCUCCGAUAAACCGAGAUCCUCAUCAAGACUUGCGGCAGAAGUUACUGCUGUAAGUAUACAGGCUGGAUCAGUUGAAACCUGUUCGUGGAGACGUACUUUAAAAGUUUUCUCAUCGGGUUAGCAUUAACCCAUUCUGUAUUCACCCCCGAUAUGUGAUUAUCAUUCCCUGUGGUGAAUACAUUUCCAUAACAAUCACUUGCUAAUCACCCUUGAUGGUCAACUCAAACACAGAAGUGGAUACCUUUCAGGACACAUUUUAACACCGUAUAAAACAGCCAGUGUUAUGAAGCCAACGAGAAUAGCACAUCAACCAUUCAACCAACAUCAUUUCCAGAAGACGCUCGGAAGUAAAUUCUCAUUGGGCUUAUCAUGAUACCUCCUUAAAGGACUAUUUAUGUUACUGUAUUCUAAGAAGGAGGCACCACCCCAAAUGGACAAUGAUUUAAUUCACUAGGAGGUAGGCAGCAUGAUAGAAUAAAAUAACCAAUUGGAGUAGAGACAAAUAACCAAUUGGAGUGGAGACAAAAAAGGUAGAGACAGAUUUUCAAAGCAACACCUGUUCUGCAUGUAUCUCUCAGGUCUCUAAAACAUUAAGGUAGGUGCACUAAACUCUGAAAAGGAUACUGCAAACCUCACUCAGCAGCAAUACUGCUCAUUAGCUUUUGAUCUGAACUGGUACAUUUGAAAAACAGAAAUACAGAAUUUUCUGUCCAUAAAAUCUCCUGAAAGGAAGUUGCAACCGUAACAAUCACAUUUUAUUGUAUUUAUUUUAUUUUGGAUGAUCCAUUUCAGAGUAGUGUGUGUACGUGUGUAUAUGUAUACAUCAUACAUAUAUAAACACACACAUACACUAGAGACAAAAGAGCCUGCAUGUAUCAAAGAAACUAUAACUAGGUUAACGCUAACAGUGUUGAAAAAAAAAAACAGUGGGAGUUACGAAUAAAGAGAAAGUGUGGGGCAGAAAGUGCCAAAAGCAGAGCUGUUGCCAUGGAAACCAAUGGAAUGCUCCUACUUUUUGCUCCACUUUUAGAAGUUUGCCCCAGAACUCCUCUUUACCAGCAGUUCCCACUGUUUCUUUGUUAACAGCAGCAAAACUGUUUUGUUUGGGGGGUUUUUGCAUUCCCUAAUAUUCACAGCACAGAGGUGAACUUGAAGAUUAAAUACUGAAUAGAAACAAAAAUAAAAAUGUAACAAAUAAUAAAUGUUAUCCAGAAAACAAAACUGAUUACGGAUUACAUAGGAAGAGUUUCAAAUACUAGUUACAUUCUUUCAACAAACUAACAGUCCAAACUGAUUCUUUUGUUCCAUUCUGGUCUUUUUCCCUUUGCAAGGUUCCAUGGUGGGUUAAGAGUCCAAAAGAUGCACCGCAUACCCAUAGAUUUCUUUACAAUAUGGCGGAAUUAAAAAACACUGGUCAAUAAUUCCAAGCAGUCCCACUUAUUUCCAUAUAGAUGUUUUUGUUUAUUAUAAUUUGUUUUCUCUAACUUAAUUUUUCUGUCUGUUUCCAGCCCUCUCUUACAUGCGCACAAACACACUUGUUCCUGUUUAGAACAGAAGAAAAAAAAAAAAAGUAAAAUAAUUAAAAAAAUAUAUAUAUAUAUAUUUAU